GAUGAACGCUAGCUACAGGCUUAACACAUGCAAGUCGAGGGGAAACGACAUCGAAAGCUUGCUUUUGAUGGGCGUCGACCGGCGCACGGGUGAGUAACGCGUAUCCAACCUGCCCACCACUUGGGGAUAACCUUGCGAAAGUAAGACUAAUACCCAAUGAUAUCUCUAGAAGACAUCUGAAAGGGAUUAAAGAUUUAUCGGUGAUGGAUGGGGAUGCGUCUGAUCAGCUUGUUGGCGGGGUAACGGCCCACCAAGGCGACGAUCAGUAGGGGUUCUGAGAGGAAGGUCCCCCACAUUGGAACUGAGACACGGUCCAAACCCCUACGGGAGGCAGCAGUGAGGAAUAUUGGUCAAUGGGCGAGAGCCUGAACCAGCCAAGUAGCGUGCAGGGUGACGGCCCUAUGGGUUGUAAACUGCUUUUAUAAGGGAAUAAAGUGGGAGUCGUGACUCCUUUUGCAUGUACCUUAUGAAUAAGGACCGGCUAAUUCCGUGCCAGCCGCCGCCGUAA
rnacentral:rRNA from 1 species